AUGGGGGCACGGCACGAGGGGCAUGUGGCACAUGUCCGGAGCCAGGCGUCGACGCAUGCGACAUGGAAGCCGUGGCCGCACCGUGGGAGCACACGCAGGGCCUCCCCCUCCGUGAACUCCGCCAGGCAGAUCGCACACUCUGACGACGAGCAUGUCGCCGGCGUCGGAGAAGCCCCGUUGGCGGCGAAGGAGACGGUUGGGAGCGCGUGGAUGGCCUUCUUCUUGAGGCCCUUUGGGGCUGGAGGAGCGUGGUCGGAGGAUGAGGGCGAGCGGCGGCGUCGCCAUGUGCACCGGGAGACUAGGGCGAGGCCAAGGACGCAGACGAGCGCACAUAGCAACGACGCUAGGAUGAGCACCAUGUCUGAGUUCACUGCCAUCACAGGAGCCGUCUGCUGGUUCUCAGGAGCCUUCAUACUCAUCGGCGACGACGAUGGCUCGCCCGGACCAGUCUUGGCGAGAGCGACGCGGUGCAGGAGGCUCGCCGGAGCGCGCAUGGUGUUGCUUCUCUGUAUCUAG
rnacentral:rRNA from 1 species